CAGCUUUUUUCAGACAAAUGUGUAACAAAGGAGUGGAUCUUUAAAAGCAUUGUAUAAGGUCAAAUUCUGAAAGAUGUUCAUGCUGCCAUCGAAAUUAUUCAUGACGAACAAUCUACAAUAGCUGAAUUCCAGGAAUUUGAACAAGAACUAGAUUUACAUAUGCAAACCUCUGGUUCCAGCUGAGGGAAAAGACUGAACUUUGUAUAUUGAGGUAAACUUAAAAAAAAAUAUGUCAAUAGAUAUAAGAAGAUGUGGUAUGAUUGCCAAUGAGACAACACUCCACAAGAGACCAAAUGACACAGAAAUUAACAGCUAUAUGUAAAUACCUUACAGCCUUCAACAAUGAGCAAAGACCAUACCGCAUAGUCAGACCACUAGCAACUAAGAAUGGCAAUAAACUUAAAAUUGCUAAAAUCUUAAAAAGUAUGAAAAAGUCAUAAAAUGAAAAGAGAAAUGCUUCCAAGGAUGAAGUGAGGUGAAAGAAAAAACAACAAAAAAACAUCAACAUAUUGAAGAGGAAAGGAAGAUACCUAUUGGGAGUUACUGUAAAUUCAGAAAUAAAUGUCUGCAUUUAUUAUUUAUGAUAUUUGAAAUUGUUGUGAUUUAGUUGUGAUGUCUGCAUCUGUCUGAAAUGACAUUUAUAAAUGGAAAAAAAAACAACCCAAAAACAAAAGAAGAAAAAAUUGCUACUGUCACAACUGUCUUCUCUUAUAUUCAUACAUGCAAGUUUUGUGAGAUUCUGACUUAGAAAUUGCUUCUUAAAGAAAAAAGAACAUAAUUAUUUUUUUACAUUAUAACUAUGUAUAGAUACUGAAACAGAUGAUGAUUUUGAUGAUGAAGAAUAAGAUACUUUUGACCAGGUUAACAGACAUGGAAGAUUAGAGACAAGCAAGUAAAUUAGGUUAGUUAAACAUGUUGUAACACUUUUGAACAGAAUUAAAUAGUACCUAACACUACAGGGAGAUAACUCUGUAAAAAUCAGCUGAAUACUGUAAGCUUGUCAAAUUUAAUGAGUAGUCAAGAUAAGUAUGUACUUGUUGGGUUGGCAAAAUUUUGCAAAAUUGUUAUGUCUGUAUUUAAAUGAUAAUAUAUGGAUAUUACUCUUUCAUCUGCAUACACCUACUUCAUAUGUAUAUAUGUUAGUUCAUGCAUACUAUUGUUUGUUAAAUUUAUUGUACUAUUAUGCCUCAUGUGAGGCCUUUAGUUAAAUAAAAAGUUUCAAGUUUCAAGUUUCAAGUUCAUGAAAUAGGAAGCUUCUCAGUAAUCAAAAUAAGACAGUGUUUGUCAAACUGCUAAAUAUACAAUACAUUUUUUUCUGAUAAAGUGUGGUUCAAUUUUUUGGAAAUUUUCAUUUUUUUGUCAAAGGGUCAAAGUAAAUAAAAUUUCAAUAUGUUAUAAAAAUUAAACAUGCCAAAUGAAUUUUAGUCCAGGUGUUUGGUACCAUUUUAAUUGAUAAAAAAUAAAAAACAUCAAACAAUUGUAAAAUUGUGCUUUUUUAAACAUGUAAACUAUUUAUUUUACAUUGGCUAGAGGUAUAGUGGGAGCGUUGAGAUUUCACAAAACAUGUUUAACCUGCCAAAUUUUUGCAAAUAUCACAAGUCAGGAGCCUCUGGCCUUUGUUAAAUUAGUUUUGUUAUGUUUUUUUUUCAAUUUUAGUUUAUUUAUAUGUUUUGAAGUUACAUGUGAAGUCCAUUUUCACUGAACUAGUCAACUUUUUUGUUUAGGUGUAAGUUGAAGCUGCACCAGAGUGCAUUGUUUUUUUGCUGUGUUGUAGAACCAUUGGUGGUCCUUGGUUUUGCUGUUGUUUCUUUGAAACCUUCCCCUUUUCCAUUCUCAAUUUUAUUUUAAGUUAUUCAGCUCAGUUCAUCAAACAGUUGUUAAAUUGUGCAUGGUAACAUACAGGUAAAAUAAUGUACUGACAAGUUCAUCAAACAAUUGCUAAAAUGUAUAUGCCUAUAUUGAAGUCAAGUACACAUUCACAGUGAUUGUGAUUCAAGGCGGAGAACCUGAAAAUAAGUUUAUAGAUUUUGAGAUUGUACAAUUAAUAAAUAUGCUUGUAAAUAGUUUGUAUUGGAAAAUAAUCAAAUUUCUUCAAAUGUAUUAUAUUUUGUCUGUUUCAGACUGAACUUAUGCCAAAGCCAAUCUAGUACAGCAGAGAUGUGCAGACUUUAGAACAUUACGUCCCCACAACUAUUCACACUUCUGACAAAUAAUAAUGUAUCUAUUGUAAAUCUAUAAAAGGCAAAACUUAUUUGGGAUACUCUGUGUGCCAUUGACAUCAGUGCUACAAAUGUGAUGUGUCAUUUUGUUCUAAAAAUAGAUUUCAGUUUGUUCUGUACCAUUCUCAUUUGCUGAUCCAGGAAGUAACUUUAAAAUUACUGCAUGUCAUUUUGAAAAGGAUUAUAGAAAACAUAUCAGUUGUAUCUGUUGACUUUGAUCGAGAUACUCUUUUACUUGUACUUAAAAGUUGCCAAAAGGGGAGCCUAAAAACAGCAGCAGAGAAUGAUCUAUUUUAUCUAGAAUAAAAAUUUCAUUCUCAAUAAUCAAUCUUCACAUGGAUAAUAUCUAAGUGAUGAACUUUAAAGAAGUGGUAAAGCAAAUGAAAUGAUGUUGAGGGGAAAGUAGUUUUUAAAGCUAUUUCAUGUUGAAUAAAGUAACACAUUACUG
rnacentral:lncRNA from 1 species